CCCAGGGGAUAGGGGACACCCCCAGGAGUCUGGGGACACCCCCAGGGGUCGGAGACACGCCCAGGGGUCGGAGACACGCCCAGGGGACACCCCCAGGGGUCGGACACACGCCCAGGGGACAGGGGACACCCCCAGGGGAUGGGAAACACCCCCAGAGGUCUGGGGACACCCCCAGGAGUCGGGGACACCCUCAGGGGACAGGGGACACUCCCAGGAGUCGGGGACACCCUCAGGGGACAAGGGACACCCCCAGGGGACAGGGGACACCCCAAGGGGAUAGGGGACACCCCCAGGGGUCGGAGACACGCCCAGGGGACAGGGGACACCCCAAGGGGACAGGGGACACCACCAGGGGUCGGGGACACCCCCAGGAGUCGGGGACACCCUCAGGGGACAGGGGACACUCACAGGGGUCUGGGACACUCCCAGGGGACAGGGGACACCCCCAGGGUUCUGGGGACACCCUCAGGGAUUGGGAUGGGAUCCAUGGGAUGGGAUCCAUGGGGAUGGGAUGGGUUGGGAUCCGAUGGGACCCCCGUGCGAGGUCCGUGCCCCCUCCCCCGGCCCCCCCAGGUGAGCCGGCAGCGCAAGGUGGGGGUGCUGUACCUGUCUCUUAUACACAUCUCCAGCCCCACGUCCCCCCGCUUCCGCGACCCUCUGCUGCUGCUGGGGCUGGCGGCGGGCGGGGGGGACCCCGACUUCUUCCCCCGCCCACCCUGGAGCCCCCUCCUCGCCCAUUACGAUGUUCAAAGCAUCCUCUUCGAUCCCACCGAGCCCCCCCCGGGCCCUCCCGGCCUCAUCUCGGGGGCUUCUGCCGCUCACCUGGAGCCCGAGGAGCCCCCCGGGCCCCCCCGCGCCGCCCCCGACCCCGAGGCGCUGGUGCUGAGCUGCCCCCGAUUCUGCUGCGAGACCGGGGGGGAGCAGGAGCCGGGGUUGGGGUCCCACCGGAGCCCCCCCGGGCCCGGGCAGCUCCCGAAUGCGGCGGUGGCGGUGCUGGAGGAGCCCCCGGCGGGGGCGCGACCCCCGCACCCCAUCGAGCACAGCGAUGAGGGCGCGGAGUAUUACCGCAAA
rnacentral:lncRNA from 1 species